AGCAGGUGUUACUAUUGAUAUGAAUUUCAUUAAUAAAGGCCACCACAUGCUGGCUCACUGUCACACUCUUUAAUAGAAUAGGAGUCGUCAAUAAAAUUCCCCUGCAAAAACUCAAAACUGUGUGAAAAAGUGUCAUUAGCACCUCAGUUUCACAGCUGUAUGAAUGUGAUAGUUUCCCACAGCAAAAUAGUGUUUGGUCAUUAUGUUAUUUUCUUUUUGUCUCUAACUUUUGCCAUCUUUUUUCCACUAGAACAACCUUCAAGAGAUGUUAAAACAAGAUGAUGACCGGCAGUUCUUGGUGAGAGUUUUUGUAGAUAAGGGUUAGGUAAUUCCUUCAUAGUAGAUAGCUGAGCAACUAGUGGAACAUUUGAUAGUAGAGAGAUAAGCAUCAUCCUUUGAGUCCUUAUUUGGUGUCUUCCUUUGCUGACGUUUCUAUAUGUGGUCUCUAAGUGUUACCGCGAUGACGAUAUAAAAGUACACUUUAAAGUGUUUAGGGUAUUCACAUUUUCUGCUCAACCGUGACAGUGCUGGCUCACAGUCUCUUCCAACGACAUGAAUAACUUCAAUAUUCAAAGUCUUGUAGUCACAGCAGUGAUUGUGAUGGUCUACGCAGCACCAGUCGAGCCUCCUAACAACACAACUCUGCUGGGUCACAUUCAUGACGACGCAGAAACAUUGUUGCUGAAAGGGUUGACUUUCCAAGCUCCAAGGCCACCAAGAAUAGACGACACAACAUGUGUGAAGGAGUUCUUCUGUUUUGCUGAAAAGUCCCUGGAAAAAGUAAAGUCUUCAGCCAAAUCAAACCUUACCCACCUUACCCAUCACUUGCAUAAGUACAACAAGUAUAUGAAUCUCACCUGUCACCCAACAUUUGACGGCACAUUUCCUGGAAGAGAUCUUCUGAAUUUGAUUAUGAAAUGUGCUGCACCGUGAACAUUCCUGGAAAACAGGAGCAGUCAAGAGUUAUUACAAGUGAUCAUAUGUAUCACUUAAGUAGCAUAUACAUAAGUUAUUACUAUUUAUUGUAAAAUGUCUAAUUUAUUUUCUAAGAUCUUAUUUUUGUAGCAUUUGUAUUUAUACCUCAAUAAAUUAUAAUGUGACAGCAGAUUUGUUGUUCAAGCUUCUUAUUAAACACCUGUUCACAAUGUUCCAGGUAUCUGUCCAAUCAACCAGUAACAGCUAAAGAACGAGAGUUUUGGAUACAAGACUGCUUUUUUAAAGAUACGUAU